ensembl:lncRNA
CGGAUGUAACGUUCGGGGAUAAUCAUAACACAGACAGUUUAGUGUAAUAUGCCAUAAUGAACUGCUUUGAAUGCAUCUAACCAGUUAAUGCAUACUGGAGCUGGUAGCCCAUGAAGGCACUGUGUGCCUAAACGUCAUAUCCUGUCUUAUCCUGUCUCGUUUCAGACGUCACAUUAGUCCGGUCAUAUCCUGUCUCGUUUCAGACGUCACAUCCUGUCUCGUUUCAGACGUCACAUUAGUCCGGUCAUAUCCUGUCUCGUUUCAGACGUCACAGUCAGGUCAUAUCCUGUCUCGUUUCAGACGUCACCGUCAGGUCAUAUCCUGUCUCGUUUCAGAUGUCACAGUCAGGUCAUAUCCUGUCUCGUUUCAGACGUCACAUUCAGGUCAUAUCCU